GAUGAACGCUGGCGGCGUGCCUAAUACAUGCAAGUCGAGCGAAUGGAUUAAGAGCUUGCUCUUAUGAAGUUAGCGGCGGACGGGUGAGUAACACGUGGGUAACCUGCCCAUAAGACUGGGAUAACUCCGGGAAACCGGGGCUAAUACCGGAUAACAUUUUGAACCGCAUAGUUCGAAAUUGAAAGGCGGCUUCGGCUGUCACUUAUGGAUGGACCCGCGUCGCAUUAGCUAGUUGGUGAGGUAACGGCCCACCAAGGCAACGAUGCGUAGCCGACCUGAGAGUGUGAUCGGCCACACUGGGACUGAGACACGGCCCAGACUCCUACGGGAGGCAGCAGUAGGGAAUCUUCCGCAAUGGACGAAAGUCUGACGGAGCAACGCCGCGUGAGUGAUGAAGGCUUUCGGGUCGUAAAACUCUGUUGUUAGGGAAGAACAAGUGCUAGUUGAAUAAGCUGGCACCUUGACGGUACCUAACCAGAAAGCCACGGCUAACUACGUGCCAGCCGCCGCGGUAA
rnacentral:rRNA from 1 species